CGCAUGCGCCCGAGCCGGGGGAGGCAGCCGUCAUGUAAACAUCCCGGUUGGAAUGGGGGCGACUCGUCACGGCGCGAGGCUAGUGGAAUAAGCCUGCCUGGAUAUUUUGGGAGUCCUGAAGUCUGCUGGAACAGAGAACACUUCCAUGUAUACAGCUUCUUAUCCAGGUAUGGACAGUAGAUGGGAAACAACAGCUACAGCUGCUGCCCAGGAGGUUCCGAACUUGCUGAGCAAGCUCAGAGGAGAUCAGAAAGGGGAUGGAUUUAGACACCACCUUCAACCAGGAUAGGACAGAAAGAACAGAGUGGAUUUUAAGGUCUCCAUCUGAUUAAAGUCAACUGGCUAGUGCAACUCAGCGAGUAAAGCAGCUUCAGAGCCAUCUCCUUUCAGAAGAAUUGUUCUAAUGGAUCAGAAUGAGACUAGGGUCAACAGAGACAGGACUUUGAGCAAAAUGUGGUCAUUCAGUUCUCACAGAUACAGAAGCAAAACGUACCACCUCCUUGUAACUGGCCCUGUUAAUAAAGCAGAUGAAAUCCAGGUCUUUCCCUCUUUCAUGACUAAAGCUACUAAAAUGACAACCCAACCCAGGGCAACACUGUCCCAGUACAAUGCAAGUACUGCACACGUGCAGAACUGCACUAUACUGGCCAUAUACUUUCCAGUUUGGGAGAGCAAAUAUUCAGAGGUCCAUUUAACUAUACCACAACAGCAGAGUGGGAUGCAUUUUGAAGAGAGAAAAACAAAACAAACCUUUAAACCAUGCCAAAAAUCUCAAUUUUUCAGAUUUCUUCAGGACUCCAAGACAGCCAUUUUCAAACCAGGCCAUUUGGUAGUUUUAUACAUAACCAUUUCCCAGCCAUUUCCAAAGCACUUUUUCCACCACUCUCUAGGUGGUGGUAACAAGCUGCAUCCACCACAAUAGGUCAGAACUUAUUGUGGCAGACAAUAGGGUGGGUAUAUAGAAGAACUUGACCACUUGCUUGAAGAGCAUAUAUAAGAAGAGGUCAUUCAAAGUCCUCAAAUCCAAACUCAGGACAUGUUUAUUUCAGGACAAAUUGAAAAUUA